rnacentral:rRNA from 1 species
ACUACGGAGAGUUUGAUCCUGGCUCAGGACGAACGCUGGCGGCGUGCCUAACACAUGCAAGUCAAGGCGGUAGCAAUACCGACUGGCGCACGGGUGCGGAACGCGUAGGCAAUCUGCCCACGAGGGGAGAACAACCAGCCGAAAGGUUGGCUAAAUCUCCGUAACAUAAGAAGCCGGCAUCGGUUUUUUAUCAAGCUUUCUUGUGGAUGAGCCUGCGUCUGAUUAGCUAGUUGGUAGUGUAACGGACUACCAAGGCUUCGAUCAGUAGCUGGUCUGAGAGGAUGAUCAGCCACAUUGGGACUGAGAUACGGCCCAGACUCCUACGGGAGGCAGCAGUGAGGAAUAUUGCUCAAUGGGGGAAACCCUGAAGCAGCAACGCCGCGUAAAGGAUGAAGGCGCUUUGCGUUGUAAACUUUUGUAGUCGGGGAAAAAUGGCGGGUUACUACCCGUUUGAUGGUACCCGAAAAGUAAGGAUCGGCUAACUACGUGCCAGCAGCCGCGGUAAUACGUAGGAUCCGAGCGUUGUCCGGAUUUACUGGGUGUAAUGGGUGCGCAGGCGGACUGGUAAGUCAGAGGUGAAAUCUCGUCGCUUAACGACGAAACUGCCUUUGAUACUAU